rnacentral:rRNA from 1 species
AUUGAACGCUGGCGGCAGGCCUAACACAUGCAAGUCGAGCGGAUGAAGGGAGCUUGCUCCUGGAUUCAGCGGCGGACGGGUGAGUAAUGCCUAGGAAUCUGCCUGGUAGUGGGGGAUAACGUCCGGAAACGGGCGCUAAUACCGCAUACGUCCUGAGGGAGAAAGUGGGGGAUCUUCGGACCUCACGCUAUCAGAUGAGCCUAGGUCGGAUUAGCUAGUUGGGGGGGUAAAGGCCUACCAAGGCGACGAUCCGUAACUGGACUGAGAGGAUGAUCAGUCACACUGGAACUGAGACACGGUCCAGACUCCUACGGGAGGCAGCAGUGGGGAAUAUUGGACAAUGGGCGAAAGCCUGAUCCAGCCCUGCCGCGUGUGUGAAGAAGGUCUUCGGAUUGUAAAGCGCUUUAAGUUGGGAGGAAGGGCAGUAAGUUAAUACCUUGCUGUUUUGACGGUACCAACAGAAUAAGCACCGGCUAACUUCGUG